GUAUGGGAAUCCCCUGGCGCUUGCAAAGGUAAGUGACUCGGGUGAGCAUGCGCCGCCAACGAAGAGACAGCGUGAAGGAUGACGCAGAUAGCCUCAUCAAACACCAUGGACAUAACGUUGAGUGAAGCACCCAAUUUGUUGUCAAACAGACCUGUUUUAACGCCUGCCCUGAUUUCAGUGCAGGCGUUUUUUU
rnacentral:sRNA from 1 species